rnacentral:rRNA from 1 species
UACGUAGGGUGCAAGCGUUGUCCGGAAUUAUUGGGCGUAAAGGGCUCGUAGGCGGUCCAUCGCGUCGGGGAGUGAAAAGCUGGGGCUUAACCCCAGUCCUGCUUCCGAUACGGGUGGACUAGAGGUAGGUAGGGGAGAACGGAAUUCCUGGUGUAGCGGUGAAAUGCGUAGAGAUCAUGAGGAAGACCAGUGGCGAAGGCGGGUCUCUGGACAGUUCCUGACACUGAGACACGAAGGCCAGGGGAGCAAACGGG